rnacentral:rRNA from 1 species
GAUGAACGCUGGCGGCGUGCCUAAUACAUGCAAGUCGAGCGAACGGACGAGAAGCUUGCUUCUCUGAUGUUAGCGGCGGACGGGUGAGUAACACGUGGAUAACCUACCUAUAAGACUGGGAUAACUUCGGGAAACCGGAGCUAAUACCGGAUAAUAUUUUGAACCUCAUGGUUCAAAAGUGAAAGACGGUCUUGCUGUCACUUAUAGAUGGAUCCGCGCUGCAUUAGCUAGUUGGUAAGGUAACGGCUUACCAAGGCAACGAUGCAUAGCCGACCUGAGAGGGUGAUAGGCCACACUGGAACUGAGACACGGUCCAGACUCCUACGGGAGGCAGCAGUAGGGAAUCUUCCGCAAUGGGCGAAAGCCUGACGGAGCAACGCCGCGUGAGUGAUGAAGGUCUUCGGAUCGUAAAACUCUGUUAUUAGGGAAGAACAUAUGUGUAAGUAACUGUGCACAUCUUGACGGUACCUAAUCAGAAAGCCACGGCUAACUACGUG